rnacentral:rRNA from 1 species
UACAGAGACUGCAAGCGUUAUUCGGAUUCACUGGGCGUAAAGGGUGCGCAGGCGGUUGGGUGUGUCAGAUGUGAAAUCCCGAGGCUCAACCUCGGAACUGCGUCUGAAACUACUCGACUAGAGUACUGGAGAGGGUAACGGAAUUCACGGUGUAGCAGUGAAAUGCGUAGAUAUCGUGAGGAACACCAGAGGCGAAGGCGGCUACCUGGACAAUUGCUGACGCUCAGGCACGAAAGCGUGGGGAGCAAAAGGG